AUGUAUCAGGAGAGGUGGGCAAACGCAGUAGGGCGCCCCCUCUGAAAACUGUGCCAACUUUCUGAAAUUGUUUACACUUCUGCCGCUAGGUUCUCUAGUGUUAGUGGCCCUGAAAUUGGGCGCGAAUUAUCAGAAGUAAAGCGUCUGCCAUUUUUGAAAGUAGAUUCCAUUUCGAUGUUUCAUUUUAUAAUUUCGUUCUUUAACUUAGGGUGAUGUGUUUUUGAUAAAUCGUGUUGCGAAAUGGUUAAGUGUUUCGUUGUUGGAUGUUUUACGGGAUACAAAUCAGCAAAAGAAAAAUAUGCCAAGGUAUUUAAACCACCCAAAAGAAGAAAGGCAAUUCAUUUUAUGGGGAAAGAAAAUGAAAAGAAGUGACAGAAAAUUUUCUAGAAAAGAUUAUGUGUGUUCUAGACAUUGGGAAGAAGAAUUCAUCAUCAAGAACUCUGUAAAUGGUGGUGCCCCAUUAUGUCGUUGGAAAUUGAGUGAUGAUGUCAUACCAAUCCUUUUUCUUGGUUACAAAGAUGGGGUAGCCCCAAGCAAAAAUUAUCGGAAACAAACAACCUCUCCAUUAUCAAACAAUGCAUGCCAUAAACAACCAGAAGAGAAACUUGAUAAUCGAACAACAUCUGAUGUGAACAGUGUUGAAGUCACUCUAGGUGGAGAGAACGGCCUGGAACACACAACCCAAGGAACAAGAGAUCCUGUUUCUGCCCAAGAAUGUUAUCUGGUAAAGGUAAUAUGUGUUACUUGUGUGAACAUCUCGACAAGAUUCACUUGAAGUAUAUGUCACGGCAAACAGUAAUUGAAAUAAUGUCCGCAAGAAAGAAGAAAACUUUAAUGAAAUAAAAAGUGCUGAAACAAAAAUUCAGCGGAAAGAACUUGUUGUCAAGAAUCUUCAACUAGCAAUUAAAAAUGUCAGGAAAAAUGUCACUGCUGCUUGCGAAAAGGCAAUAAGUAAUCAGUUUCUUGGGCUUAACGACCAGGUAUAUCAUGCUCCCAAUUACUAUUCCCCUCUAUGACGAGUACGUUUGUUAGAUUCCCCAAUUUGAACUAUUUUUCUACCA